rnacentral:rRNA from 1 species
UACGUAGGGUGCGAGCGUUGCCCGGAUUUAUUGGGCGUAAAGGGCGCGCAGGCGGCCACGCACGUCCGUUGUGAAAUCGCUCGGCUCAACUGGGCGGGGUCAGCGGAUACGGCGUGGCUGGAGCAAGCUAGGGGGCAAUGGAAUUCCGAGUGUAGAGGUGAAAUUCGUAGAUAUUCGGAAGAACACCAGUGGCGAAGGCGACUUACUGGACACAUACUGACGCUGAGGUGCGAAAGCGUGGGGAGCAAACAGG